AUUGAACGCUGGCGGCAGGCCUAACACAUGCAAGUCGAGCGAGCGGCGGACGGGUGAGCAAUGUAUUGGGAUCUGCCCGAUAGAGGGGGAUAACUACUGGAAACGGUGGCUAAUACCGCUAACUAUCGUUUGAACCCAUAUGGGAUUGGCUAGUAGGUGGGGUAAAGGCUCACCUAGGCGACGAUCUCUAGCUGGUCUGCGAGGCUGAUCAGCCACACUGGGACUGAGACACGGCCCAGACUCCUACGGGAGGCAGCAGUGGGGAAUAUUGCACAAUGGGCGCAAGCCUGAUGCAGCCAUGCCGCGUGUAUGAAGAAGGCCUUAGGGUUGUAAAGUACUUUCAGCGGGGAGGCGUUACCCGCAGAAGAAGCACCGGCUAACUCCGUGCCAGCAGCCGCGGUAAUUC
rnacentral:rRNA from 1 species